rnacentral:rRNA from 1 species
AGAAAGGAGACUUCGGUCUCUGAGUACAGUGGCGCACGGGUGCGUAACACGUAAGUAAUCUACCCCGAACCCUGGGAUAACCCUCCGAAAGGAGGGCUAACACUGGAUAGGGUCCCCGAGGUGUAGGCUGCGGGGGGAAAACGGGCCUCUGUUUCAUGCUUGUGGUUCGGGAUGAGCUUGCGGCCCAUUAGCUAGUUGGUAAGGUAAUGGCUUACCAAGGCAACGAUGGGUAGCUGGUCUGAGAGGAUGAUCAGCCACACUGGCACUGAGACACGGGCCAGACUCCUACGGGAGGCAGCAGUGGGGAAUUUUGCGCAAUGGGCGAAAGCCUGACGCAGUAACGCCGCGUGGAGGAUGAAGGCCUUCGGGUUGUAAACUCCUGUCAGGAGGAACGACGGGGAGAGGGUGAUAAACCCUUUCUUCCAGACGGUACCUCCAAAGGAAGCCCCGGCUAAUUCCGUGCCAGCAGCCGCGGUAAUACGGAAGGGGCAAGCGUUGUUCGGAAUCAUUGGGCGUAAAGGGCGCGCANGUGGUUCUGUAUGUCUACCGUGAAAGCGUACGGCUCAACUGUAUUUUGUCGGUAGAAACUGCAGGACUUGAGGCUGGGAGGGGCUGGUGGAAUUCCCUGUGUAGCGGUGAAAGGCGUAAAGAUUGGGGGAGAACACUCGUGGCGAAAGCGGCCAGCUAGACCAGUUCUGACACUGAGGCGCGACAGCGUGGGGAGCAAACAGGAUUAGAUACCCUGGUAGUCCACGCUGUAAACGAUGGGCACUAGGUGCCCGCGGUCUUGAUCCCCUC